AGAAUCAACGCUGGCGGCGUGCCUAACACAUGCAAGUCGCACGAGAAAGGGACUUCGGUCCUGAGUACAGUGGCGCACGGGUGAGUAACACGUGAAUAAUCUACCUCCGAGUGGGGAAUAACUGAGAGAAAUCUUAGCUAAUACCGCAUAACACUUACGAGUCAAAGCAGCAAUGCGCUUGGAGAGGAGUUCGCGGCAGAUUAGUUAGUUGGCGGGGUAAUGGCCCACCAAGACGAUGAUCUGUAUCCGGCCUGAGAGGGCGCACGGACACACUGGAACUGAAACACGGUCCAGACUCCUACGGGAGGCAGCAGUGGGGAAUUUUGCGCAAUGGGGGAAACCCUGACGCAGCAACGCCGCGUGGAGGAUGAAGUCCCUUGGGACGUAAACUCCUUUCGAUCGGGACGAUAAUGACGGUACCGAGAGAAGAAGCCCGGCUAACUUCGCGCCAGCAGCCGC
rnacentral:rRNA from 1 species